ensembl:snoRNA SNORD3D small nucleolar RNA, C/D box 3D
AAGGCUAUACUUUCAGGGAUCAUUUCUAUAGUGUGUUACUAGAGAAGUUUCUUUGAACGUGUAGAGCACCGAAAACCCCGAGGAAGAGAGGUAGCGUUUUCUCCUGAGCGUGAAGCCGGCUUUCUGGCGUUGCUUGGCUGCAACUGCCGUCAGCCAUUGAUGAUCGUUCUUCUCUCCGUAUUGGGGAGUGAGAGGGAGAGAACGCGGUCUGAGUGGUU